GCAAUCCCUGGUUACGCAUGGAAAACAUAAUUUGACAACAAAACAAACCGAAUCUGGAUACUACCUUAAACUUCUGGACAUCAUAAUUUAGCUACCUAAUCGAUGUCGGAUUUGUGGGAACGCAUGACUAAGGGUUACGAAAAAAGGAUGGUGGUGCGCAUUGUUAAAUGCAAGGAUACUGGCGAGUCUCGAGUCCCGCAGGUACAGUUCAGAAACUUAUGGCUAUAUGAGUAAUUUUCGUGCAAGCUGCAAACCGAAUGUCAAAGAUUGAACGUAUCAUCCGGUAUUCUAUUGAACAAGCCAUCUACGUGUGAUUACCACUAAAACCGAUCCGGAUGACAUUUGCAAAACUCUGAAACCUUCGUUGAAACACAUCGAGCAACAAAUUAUCUCUACGUGAUAUCUUACAA